UACGAAGGGGGCUAGGCGUUGCUCGGAAUCACUGGGCGUAAAGCGCACGUAGGCGGAUUGUUAAGUCAGGGGUGAAAUCCUGGAGCUCAACUCCAGAACUGCCUUUGAUACUGGCGAUCUCGAGUCCGGGAGAGGUGAGUGGAACUGCGAGUGUAGAGGUGAAAUUCGUAGAUAUUCGCAAGAACACCAGUGGCGAAGGCGGCUCACCUGGCC
rnacentral:rRNA from 1 species